GUUUCUAGCGUCUUCCAGCAUCAAGUGAGGUCAGAUCUUGGGUAAUGGUACUAUUUGGCGACCCAGGAUUACUGUUCUCAACUGACGCUGGCAGACUGCU
rnacentral:pre_miRNA from 1 species